AACGAACGCUGGCGGCAGGCUUAACACAUGCAAGUCGAGCGCCCCGCAAGGGGAGCGGCAGACGGGUGAGUAACGCGUGGGAAUCUACCCAUCUCUACGGAAUAACGCAUGGAAACGGGUGCUAAUACCGUAAACGUCCUUCAGGAGAAAGAUUUGACGGAGAUGGAUGAGCCCGGGUUGGAUUAGCUAGUUGGUGGGGUAAAGGCCUACCAAGGCGACGAUCCAUAGCUGGGCUGAGAGGAUGAUCAGCCACACUGGGACUGAGACACGGCCCAGACUCCUACGGGAGGCAGCAGUGGGGAAUAUUGGACAAUGGGCGCAAGCCUGAUCCAGCCAUGCCGCGUGAGUGAUGAAGGCCCUAGGGUUGUAAAGCUCUUUCACCGGUGAAGAUAAUGACGGUAACCGGAGAAGAAGCCCCGGCUAACUUCGUGCCAGCCGCCGCCGUAAGAC
rnacentral:rRNA from 1 species